rnacentral:lncRNA from 10 species
UGGGUGGUGGCGGGAGGCGGCAGCAGGAGCGGCUGCAGGAGCAGCAAUGGCAAAGGUGGGUCCCCUGUGCCCCGUGUCCCCAAGGCAGCAAACUGUGCUGCCCCCACCCUCAUGUGGCCAGGCAGGACCCGCUGCCUCAGCCUCCCAAGUAGGUGGAACUACAGGCAUCCACCACCACGCCCAGCUAAUUUUUUGUAUUUUUAGUAGAGAUGGGGUUUCACCAUAAGAAACUGUCUGCAUAAUUAUUCAAAACACUUUCCCAUAGAUUUAUGGCAGCCCAAACUGUGGAAGAGCUCAAUGUAGCUGAAAGAGACAAGGUCUCACUAUGUUGGUUGGGCUAGUCUUGAAUUCAUAGCCUCAAGUGAUCCUCCCUCCUCAGCCUCCCAAAGUGCUGGGAUUACAGGCAAGAAAGUGCUUUAAGUUGGCUGCUUCCCACCCGCCUCUCCUGGGCAGGUGCCUCUGCAGCAGCCCCUGCACCUCAACCCCUUUUCGCAGCCAACUCCCAUGGCUCCUCACGGAAAGGGAGCUCAGUGGUUCCUACUCCAGGACACUUCCCCGAGACUUGGCAAGGUUUGCACCAUUCUGAGACCCGCACAUCAGACCUCCCUGCCAGCCUCCCGCAGCCGCCCUGGCUUCAGCCGCCCACCUGGCCUGAGCGCUCAGCACGUGGACUCGAGCUGGCUCUGCACCCAGCUCAGAACACAGCUCUCAACUGUAAGCAUCAGGUAAGCAGCUUGGCAUUGGUCACUAGAGGGACAGAGAUCAUCAGACAGCAGUUUCUGUGAAGCCCACACUGGGACACCUGGCUGCACCCCCUCCCACCUGACCCUCCCCUGCUUCCUGGCCUGCCCUGCUUAAUUUCCCCUCACCUCACUCUGCACCACACCAAGAGCUGCCAGUUCUAUUACCAGGACACGUGUUUGCCUGUAAUAGAGAGCUGCCAUAUAUUUUUAACAUACUAUAAUACUUUAAUAAUACAACUUAAUAUUUAUAUAGUAAAAUAUAUGACAUGUAAUAAUAUUUUCAAUAUUAAGUGAAGGUUUAUGUUUGUGGUUUGUUGUUUAACUUUAAGGGAGAAACACAUAUAAUCUCAUUAACUUGCUUUUGAACUAAGCCUUUUACUGGGGUAAGGUAGGAGAAACACCUCCCAACUCUGUUUUAAAUAGUAAACAUCAAAAUGUGCUUACAAUAAUGCUGCAAAUAGCUUAUAAAGUGAUGGUAUCUUCUGAAGAUUAAACUUGCAAACAUCUUAACACACAUAAGGCCUGGUAUAUAUAAGCACUCAAUAUGUUUCAGCUGCUAUUAGUGGCUUUGCAUGUUAAUAACUGAACUAUCAGGGCACUUUAAUAAAGGUAAGUAAGCCCCUCCCAUUCCCCUCCAAGCCUCCCAGUGCCCCCCAAAGCCCUGGAUGAACUGAGUUAACUGGAGCCAAAGCCUACCAAGAAACAGCCCUACACAUCCUUCUUUUAAAGGAGUAAAGAAAAGAUUAGUUUUGAUCCAGAAAAUAAAAAGUCAAGCAGUAUUUUACCCAAGUUAAUUUGGACUCUGGAAUUAUUCUGCCAGUGUCUAAAGGACAAAGUGACUGAAAACAACUGCUCUCGGGCUCCAAAUGAGCUGACAAGUGGUUUGUCAAGUGAGUAUUCACGAUCACCUGUGGGGGUACCCCUAAGCCCCAAAACGCCUUCCAAACCUCCUCACCACCUUUCCUCACUGCUUCCCCAGCACCACCCCAAGCCUGACCAUUUUCUCACUUACUCCCCUUUUUGUAACAUAUGCAGAGUUGGAGCGAACACCUCAGAGAAAAAGAGGAAAAGAAAGAGAAGAAAGUUGAGGAUUACGAUGAACUCAUCUGAAUACCAAGACAACACCCAGACUCACCUCUGGAAAUGCACAGGUGAAAGAAAAGCAAGGCAGUAAACAGCAAAAAGGAACCCCAUCUUUCUCCACCUCAAGUCCACAGAAAUUGCCUCCCUUCUAAGUUUUAAACAAGGGAUGAAGAUAUCUUUGACCACCCUUCCCCAUCCCCAGGGCAGCCAUGCCUCCUUCCACCUAAGCUUGGUGAGCUUUGGAACUGGUGGUAAGAACUGAUCCAAAGUGUGUGCUUUAACAAAUCCUUCCAAAGAAAACUUGGAAAUCAGCUAUUUAAACUUGGAGUCCACUUCUCUGUAGGAAGGGCAUUCAUUUGAACACAAAUUUAGUUCCUGCGCCAUAAUGUGCAGUGUUAAGAGUAACCCUGAACAAUGCAUUUGCUGCAUGGAAUAGCUUUCUCAGUACAACUGUGUAGUGC